CAUAUCAAUAAGCGGAGGAAAAGAAACUAACAAGGAUUCCCCUAGUAACUGCGAGUGAAGCGGGAAAAGCUCAAAUUUAAAAUCUGGCAGUCUUUGGCUGUCCGAGUUGUAAUCUAGAGAAGUGUUAUCUGCGCUGGACCGUGUACAAGUCUCCUGGAAUGGAGCGUCAUAGAGGGUGAGAAUCCCGUCUUUGACACGGACUACCAGGGCUUUGUGAUGCGCUCUCAAAGAGUCGAGUUGUUUGGGAAUGCAGCUCAAAAUGGGUGGUAAAUUCCAUCUAAAGCUAAAUAUUGGCGAGAGACCGAUAGCGAACAAGUACCGUGAGGGAAAGAUGAAAAGAACUUUGGAAAGAGAGUUAAACAGUACGUGAAAUUGCUGAAAGGGAAACGCUUGAAGUCAGUCACGUUGUCCAGGGAUCAACCUUGCUUUUGCUUGGUGUACUUUCUGGUUGACGGGUCAGCAUCAAUUUUGACUGUUGGAAAAAGGUCAAGGGAAUGUGGCAUCCUCGGAUGUGUUAUAGCCCUUGGUUGUAUACAAUGGUUGGGAUUGAGGAACUCAGCACGCCGCAAGGCCGGGUUUUUAACCACGUACGUGCUUAGGAUGCUGGCAUAAUGGCUUUAAUCGACCCGUCUUGAAACACGGACCAAGGAGUCUAACAUGCCUGCGAGUGUUUGGGUGGAAAACCCGAGCGCGUAAUGAAAGUGAAAGUUGAGAUCCCUGUCGUGGGGAGCAUCGACGCCCGGACCAGACCUUUUGUGACGGUUCCGCGGUAGAGCAUGUAUGUUGGGACCCGAAAGAUGGUGAACUAUGCCUGAAUAGGGUGAAGCCAGAGGAAACUCUGGUGGAGGCUCGUAGCGAUUCUGACGUGCAAAUCGAUCGUCAAAUUUGGGUAUAGGGGCGAAAGACUAAUCGAACCAUCUAGUAGCUGGUUCCUGCC
rnacentral:rRNA from 1 species